CUUCUCCUGUGAGCUGCCCCAGCUUAGCUGAAGCACUGUUCUCCAGGGACUGACUGCCAGUAUUGAGUGAGAAGAGGAUAACAUGGGACGGAGACACUGGGUCAGGACCACCAAAUGCCAGCUGAUAGUGACCAGCCUCUUUGUCAUGCUGCUGGGGCUGGCAGUCAGCAUACUGACCAUUAUCACCCGCUAUGGGGCUCACUUCAGUGUAAUCAGUGGGGUCUCCUCUGAGGCUAACCCCUAUAGAAUCUUCCACAACGUCGCAUUCUACAGCGGGAUAUGUCUGACCAUGAUUCUGGUCCUUGCAGCCCUGCUGAGUACUGUUGCCACAGUGAGAGAAUCGGUGUGCCUCAUGGCAAUGGGAUUCUUCUGUUUUGCCAUUGUUUUCUGUGCACUGAUACAGGCUGCGUUCUGGAGAUACACCAACAACAGGGAGGUAGAAGAUGCCAUGAUGGAUGUGUAUGAUUCUGUGUACGAGGAAGUAAGGAGGAACUUGUCCAGCUUCAGGAGGCAGGAACUAGCUACCAUCCAUGAAACAUUUCUGUGCUGUGGAAAGCAGUCACCCUUUGGAGAAACAGGAGGCAUUGAAGAGGAGACAUGUCCAUCAGAACCUAUGGGCACAGCCAGAGCGGACCUGGGACAAUUUCAUGAUGAUUCAGGGAUUGCCUCCAAGAGAUCCAAGACUUCCUAAAAAAACAUAUGGACUUCGUCUCUGUGCUACUGAUCAUCACAAUCUGCUUCAUGGUAGCUACCUUCCGUCCUUUGGUACCCUAAUUUUCUGAACAAGCUGAGGCAGGGACAGUUCAGUGGCUUGAGAGGGCAGGUCACAUUGAAAACCUUGCGUGCAGGAGACAGGUUUCUGGAUCUGGCGGUGAUAAGCCAGCAGCCUGGAGUUCAGUAGCAAAGGAAAUAACCUUGAUGAUGUGAUUCACCACAGAGACUAGGGGAGGAGCUAUCCAAUAGGGCUGCCAGUCAGACUGAGGAAUCACAGCCAGUUCUCUGCUGGAACAAGCUCGCUAAAUUCCUGGCAGCCAUAGGUUCUCUGCUGAGCUUGGGGAAUAGGUCUGGAAAUUGGCUUCCUCAGAAUUUGAAUCCCAUUGUCUAGGAUGUUGAGUCUAAGCAUUUUGUCCUGUGGCUGAGGAUGUGCCAUGGUCUAACCACCACAUGAUCUAACAUUACUUUGUGGUGUUUAGAGCUGGUCAAAAUAUUGUCAUCCAACACUUUUGGACCAAAAAUAUCUUUUCAACCAAAGGAAACAUUGCCACAGAAAAUGUUCAUCUUGGUCAAAAAUUUCCAGUGUUUUAAAGGAAAAACCAAAAUUAUUUUGGUAAAAGUUUGAUCUCUUUGAAAACUUAUAUGAAAACCCAGAUACUUUUACCAAAAAUGUCUUUUUUUUUAACUGCAAAUUUUUUGUUUAAAAAAAAUAUAAAUUGAAAACUCAUCACGGGAAAUGUCUUUAAAAAAAUUAAAAUCUCCCAAAAUUAAGUUUCCUACAAAAAAAUAAUCAUUGGCAGUUGUAGCCAGCUGUGAUGUUACUGUUAGAUAUGCAAGACAGCAGCUUCCUGCAGGAAGAAGUUGUGGAAGCUCGGCCUGUUAUACACAGGAGGUCAGCUGCCUCCCAGCUGAGGCUCUGAGGCCAGGUAUCAGGUGAUAACUUGAAGAUCAUCUGGUAUUAGGUGAGCCAGCAAGUAGCUCAGUUGAGCUGGAGAGCUGCAGGGAGUAGAAAGGCUGCUGCUGAGGACAGAACCCAGUUCAUGAGACACUCUGGCAGAUGGCCUGUGUAAUCUUGUGGGGAACAGGCUAGGAAGAAGGAACCAGAGACUUGUGUUGACUCCCAGGCAUUCUGUGAAGUGUAAUCCUGUACGGAGUAGACUGGCCUCUGCAGAAGACCACAGGUCAAGAGAAAAGAGGUGAUUGGUGUGCUGAACAGUUAUUUAUUUUUGAAUAACACUGAAGUCCUGUAGAAGAAGGGGCAGGAAUCCUGUGGCUGGAGAGUGUUAUUGGUGCCUGAGCAGGUUUAUGGGAUGAUUUUAACUUCAUUCCUUUGGUUCUCCAUCUGCUUCAGCAACAAUCUGGACCGGAAAGGCAAAUAUAUUUUCAGAGAGACCUAGAAAACAGUCGCCCAGCUUCCCCACAAGAGCAAGGAUUUCCAACCCUUGAAUUGGGAAACCAUCCGAAAGUUAUCCACAGAGUUCCCUGAGAAGCUGUGGCUAGGUGACUGGAGCUGGGCCUUAGACCUUCAUGUUUCCCUUUACUGCAUUACCUGCUUCUUCUGCAUUGCCAGCUGACUAGUGGGAAUGAUCAUCGGGCAGCACAGGAGAGGAAGAUGUGACAUUUUCUGUAAAGACCAACAGAGAGUGUGACAGGCAGCCAGCUGGGAAAUCAGGGCCAUGUAGAGACACAGAUAGGCAUGUUUAGCAUUCGUGUGAGAUGUGGAUGGUAGCAAGGAACCAGCCAGCCCCUCACCCAGAAAACCCCCAUCCCAGCUAGCCAAAAACCAAACCCUGAUCCAAUCACUUCUACCACUGCCUGAAAACUGACAGUUUAAAACUCUGUCAGAGUGCCAAAACAUACCCCAGCAACAAAGAAACUAAAAUACCAUCAAGAAGGAAAAGAAGUCCAGUUAAUACCCCUCAGCCAGGAGAACAUCCUCUCAGCCAUAGCCAAAACAAACGCACCAUGCCAAUCAAUCACUCCACAAAUCUUGGCAAAACAGCCACUUACAUUUAAUCCCCCACACACGCACACACACACAAUCCCCACACCACCACCAAAUAACCAAUUGCCCCUGGGAGAAAGAAGAAAGAAAUGCAUUAGAGGACACACAGGAUAAGUAACUUAAUUCAACUAAUUAUCCACCAAGUUUCCCACAGUCCAUUCUGUUCCUGAACUACAAACUGGAGAACUAAUGUAAAUUUAUAAAUGUGUUUGCCAAAACAAAAUUUAAAAAACAAAUAAGAAAUUACGGAAAAUAAAAUAAAGAUGGUAGCAUUUAAAAGAACUUCAACAUGGGAUGUUACAAUGUAUCACAAGAUAACCAAUCAAAUAAAUAAAUUCAUGCGGAGUACUCUGAAAAACUGGGCACUAGUUCUCUCAAAGAGGGCACCCAAAAUUAGUUUACAUUUCUGACAAUUUGGCUUUAAUCUCUGAGACUCAGUUAACUCAAGGUCCUAUCAGUCUUGUUACAUGGACAAACUUUAUCCUAAAUCUACACUAUUCUCACCAUGUGACUACCACUGUGGAACUCUGGAUGUUUAAGUAAAGAUCCUUAUCAAUCCACCAAUAUGCUUAUGUGUCAAUGGGAUUAUGGGACUGCCCAUGGCAGUUCAACCAAAUCUCUCUAGAGUUAGAAUAUAGAAAUUUGAACAAGUUACGUAUCAAAGUCAAUUUGAUUAAAGAUUGCUUUGCCUUGGUGAUAUUCAUAGAUAAACUCUUUCCAUUAUGCACAUAUUCAAUAUUAUAAUGCACCAAAUCCCACAUAUAUGUUUCAUGGAAUAAUUUUAAAGCUAUUUGUAAUUUCUCUGGAAGCUCACAAAUAGUGUAAACCCUUUAACCAAAUAUUCAGCGGUGGCAAAAGUCUUGAGCUUAACUAGACAAUUCAAAAUUCUUUUUCUCUUCUCUAAGAAGUUGUCAGUUUCUUGUGACUGCAAAAGAUGGUCUAGGGCUUCUCCACAUGACGACUUAGUGCAGGGUAAACUGGGGUGUAAAUCUACAAUGGCACUAGCCUGCUGCUCACCAACUGGGUGUGUGGACACAGCUGCCAUGCACUCUUUUUGCUGCGUGUGUCAAACAGCAGUAGUUCAAAGCACACUGCAGAACUUUUAAUGGACGGUAGCAGGGUCCAUACAGCCGGUUACUACACAGCAGGCUUGUACCCUGUGGAUUUACACCCCAGCUUGCCAUGCAUGAAGACCCGGUCUACAGUGAAAAGUUACAUCAGCAUAGCUAUGGCAGUGAAAAAACCACACUCCUGAUGGACAUAGCUAUGCCGACAUACCCCACCCCCGUGGACGCCACUAGUUGAUGGAAGAGGUCUUCCAUCAACAUCACUAGCAUUGGUUGGGGAGGAGGUGCUCCUACACCAGCAGAAAAACCCCUUCUGUCGCUGUAGGCUGGAUUACAUGGCGAGGCUGUGGUGCUAUAGUCUGCGUAGUGUAGACAUACCAUCGGUCUCUGUGUGGACAAGCACCUAGGCUGAUUGCUUUAACAUGCUCUUAAUCUUUCUGAGAGGCAUCUUUGCUGUACCCAGGCAUGAUUUCCUGUUACAAAUAAUACUAUGCUCAGUGUAAUGAGUUCUUCUAACCUCGACAUUCUCAGUUACUUGUUGACUUAGGGCCAGAUUUUUAAAGACAGUUAGGAGCCUAAAGAUGCAGAUAAGCACCUAGCGGGAUUUUCAAAAGCACCUAGGUGCUGAAUGCCCAUUGAUUUCCCAUCUUUUGUUUCCCAAGACAUCAGGUGUUAGCAGAGAGGGGGUGCUCUCCGUAGCCACCUGAUGACAGUCCCACUCUCAUGCAAUCUCAUCCAGAUGUUUCGGUUUCUGUGAGCAAAUUGCUGAACAGAGCUGUUUUAUACAGCUUCUGAUGAGCCACGGGGCCUGGCUCCUCUUCCACGUAAAGUUGAUGUGGGCUAAUUAGAAAGCAAACCUCAUUUCUGACAGGUUUCAGAGUAGCAGCCGUGUUAGUCUAUAUUCGCAAAAAGAAAAGGAGUAGUUGUGGCACCUUAGAGAUUAACCAAUUUAUUUGAGCAUAAGCUUUCGUGAGCUACAGCUGGAUCCGAUGAAGUGAACUGUAGUUCACGAAAGCUUCUGCUCAAAUAAAUUGGUUAGUCUCUAAGGUGCCACAAGUACUCCUUUUUCUUUUUGCUCAUUUCUGAUGACAUUCUGAAACAUCCAACCAGACAAGUAGCUUGGGACAUAUCAGUUUGCACUAUACAUUUUAGGACAUAUAUCAGCUUGCAACAUCCUUUGCCACCAAUUGUGCCUUUAGUGUGAUACUCUUUUAAGACAAUUGUUAGUCCAGGCUCCAGUCAGCAAUCUGCUUCCACAAACUGCUUUUGUAGGUUCCCCUUGCGGUGUAUCUUGAGCAACUUUGCACAGCACCACCUUCUUUCCCAGGCUGCAGUUUCUCCAUCAGCAUAUUUAGAAGUCUGCACAGAUAUCCACUUUCAAACUCCUGUCUUUAUAGAGAGUCUCAUGACAUUCCUUGAUAAUUGUGUAGUUGUUUAGUUGGUCAUUAUGCAGCAAUGUAAACUUACUUGACCCAUUUUCUUGGUUCAACACCAAUAAUUUUGAUGGUAAUGAAACAAUAAGACAAAACAGCCGUACAUGUCUCUGUACCAAUUUGUGUUUACAUCCCACACAUCAGUGAUAAGGUCGGUAAGGUCACUUUAUCUGUUAAAUCAUUUCAGUUUAUCUACUUGCUAAACUGUUUAUCACACUUCUUGGUCAUUUAGUCCUUAUAACUAUUUGGACAGGGUCACUAUAAAGAUUUUCAUUUCACCUUGGCUGUUCAAUAUGCUAAUUGACUGCAUCAUCUUUUUUUAGCAUAAAAUAACAAGGUGUUUGUAAAUUAUUAGUUAGAUAUUUCUUAUUAAUUACAUUUCUAAUUUAAAAAGGAAGCAUUGUCCUAACUAUUUGAAAUAUCUUGUGAUCACAGCUCCUUUUGGCAAGGAACUUGCUGAAACUGCAAGGGUCAAUUUCAGAAUGCUUUAGAUUACUUUAAAGCUACAGAUGGGGGCGUAUCCUCAGCUGAGGAUUUGCCCCCUUGUUUAUUUCAGUCAACCUCUGAUCUGUAUGACAGACAAUUAUAAUACUAUGCUACCAAAUUAAACAUAAACUGAUGUACUGUGUGUGUCACUGUCAAAGCUAAUGCUAUGGUUAUCCCAAAGGCCAGCUGGAAAGUCAUAUGACUCUUGACUACUUCAAUAAAAAUUUAUGUCAUGGCAAAAUGCUAUCUUCCCCCACUCUUUCUGUGUGCACACAAGGCUGUUUGGGUGGCUGUGGUGUUUGUAUAAUGAAGUUUGGCAGUAAUUCUUUCAGCGCUGGGAAGAUGUAUUAUACAUACAGCUGGCAGUCGCUCUGGCAUACAAGCAUAUCCUAGCAGUGAAGGGCAGAUAUGACUGAAUCAAGCUUUGAAGAAGGGGAACCUACCAACCUGCUCAUCUUCUGUUCCUUGUUGCUGCAGUCAUCAGCCUCCCCUCACCAGUAACCAACUAGGGUUAGAUCAGGAACAUAGUUUGCAAGGAAUAAAACAAGGUAGGAAAGAACAAGUAAGCAUCUAAUCUAUAUAUAAAGAACAUGGUGUUCGGGUAAAAGAAAUAACCAACAUUUAACAGAAUGCCUGAAAGGAAGGUUUCUGGGGGGGUCUGUUUAAUUUUGGCUGCAAGACUCUAUGCUGACUGGAGAACUAGUGAAAUUCUGACCUCACAAGAGGCUGAGCAAAUGCAAGCGGAAGAGAUUUUUGAUUGGCCUACUUGUGUAAUGAGCGGGAUUAGUUCAUUACUUGUUUUUUCACAUCUAUUUAACUCCCAUAUUUAAUGAACAUUUGCGUGUAAGGAUGGCAUUAUUAGAUUCAGCACUGCCCCCAAUCCCUGUCCAUUAAGGUGGGAGAGUAGAUAAUGAACAUCUCUGAGAGCCCUGAGAGGUCCUCCUGCCUACCCAGGGGGGACCAGUCUGGUAUUUCUAAUGUAAGGGGCUGAGGGUGAAAUCAUUUCAGGCCUUCUUUAUAUACCAUAAAAAAGCAAAAAAGGGCUCAAAUCCAAUGUUUGUUAGAAGUCUUUUACUGCCCACUAGAUCUACAUCGAGGGAAACAGGCAGGUAUCCAGUAUUUGUCACAUCUGCAACUGCUGUGACACCUGUGCCUGGAAGGUGGGGAAGAGGAGUUGUCUGUGUUUUGGACUUUGUUGGGGCAGGGAAGAGGGCUGGUUGGGUUUUUUUGUUCCUCCUGAACAGUGCAUGUUAAGCUUUUUCAUUGUUGUGGUGGUAGGAGUGGGAACCUGGAAUGCAUCCUUUGUACAGCAAGCUAGUGCAUCUGGAGUCCAGCCAGUUAUUCGUCCAGUCAAGAAGCAGACUUAUCGUGUAGACUUUCUUGCAAUGAGGUGGCCAGUUCUCCCCUCCUUUCUGAGGUUGUGACAUUCAGCCAUGAGUCCUCACUGAGUUUUGCCCAAAAUCUAGUCUGACAAGAACAAUAUUUUAGAUACACAUCACACCAACUGCCUGGACAACCAAAAAAAAGAGCAUCCCAGCACCCCUUAAAUACAUCAAAAAUACACUUUGGGGGUCUUCAUCACAGCCCUACCAGUGCUGAUAAAGUGAUUUCCCCUCUUCCCAGCUUUUACCCAGCUUUAAAUACCCCCUACUUUGCAGUCACAGUCUUCUAUACACAGAAGAAUGACAAUAACUCCCUUUGCUGCUGCUCUUCAUUCAGCACGUUGGGGUUAAUGCUGGACUAGGUGUUUUUAAAAGGCAGUGUCUGCUAGUGGUCCAAGCAGGUGACUGGGAUUAAGAGCUCCUGGACACCCAUUCUGUUCCCCCACCCUGGCCCCUGGAUGCUAUUCUGGCAACACACAAAGACUGUAAAGGCACUACAAGGGGCCAGGGACAUACUCCUCAGUCCCUAAAUGGCACUAUGUUUCCUCCACAGCACAGGGGGCUUGGAAUGGCACCAUCGCGGACAUGCCUACACUGCAGCCCAUAGGAAGCCUAUGAUGGGCUACUGUAACUUACAGCAACCAGUGACUGCUCUAACUUAUGCCAGAGGCUGUUUUGGCCACCAGAGUAGUUUAUAAUCUCCCCCUGUCCCUCAAUUGUACCUACUGGAGACUCUAUUCCUGGUCCUGGUUACCAUUGACUUGCUGGAUAGGGUUGGGCAAGUCAUGUGAUGCAACCCCUGUGUGCCUCAGUUUACACAGUAGUACAAUGGAGAUAAAUAACGCCUACCUCCCAAAGCUGGCAAUUGGGAAGUCCUGAUUGAUUAAUGACUAGAAAAGGCUUUUAUAUCCUUGGCUGAAAGACACUACAGAACAGCCCAUUAUUAUCAUUUAUUAAAAAGCUUUGCACUACGAACUGGCUGUGCACAUAACAGAAUCAAUUUUAUUUUUAUGAGUGGUGAUGAAAAACGGGAAGGCCGGAUUAUGAAAGAAAGUGAUGCUGUGAUUAUAAUGACUUUGUUUAGCAUCCCAAGGGACAGAGUCAGUUUGAGAACCCAGGAAGUGGUAGUGAGUGACAAAAGAAAGCAAGAUACAAAGCACCAAUUAAUUUAAUCAUUGUUAAUUAUUAAAAUGGCAUUUUUAUUUUAGGCACAUGAAAUCAGAGAACCUAUUUAAGGUUGAUUUUAGAUAUAAAUGCAGGAGCCCCAGGCACAGAAGCAGAGAAAUGAAAUCAGAUCUUAGGAGCUGCGAGUCUGCUCCCAUCAGCCUAAAAGGAUGUGCGGUUAAAUAUAUCUGUCCUGUGUUGUGAAUAAGAAAGAGUAGAGCAAAGGCAGUGCUCCAGUAUUUGUCUUCACAGUUUCAGGUGUACAGUAUGUGUAUUCCCCCCUCUGAAUUCUCAUGUCACCUGUCUCUGGACAGGAACUCUUGUCCCCCUCCCUUCUGACCAGGGGAUUAUAAUGCUGCACAGGCCCCGGCCUUACACUGUGAUAUUCGCAGCAAGCCAGUCUGCCUAAUGGCUAGCAGCUGUGAAUUGCUUUUUCUCCAGGGGCUAUGACCAGGACCAGCUCUAGGCACCAGCAAAGCAAGCAGAUGCUUGGGGUGGCACAAUUUCAGGGGUGGCUUUUUUUUUGCUUGGGCAGUUGCGCUCUCAGAGCUUGGGGUGGCAAAAAACAUAGAGCCGGCCCUGGCUAUGACCAGCGUAUUGCCUGCCAUCACCCGUUAUCCCACAGCUCUUUCGAAGCAAGCGCCUUGAUUAACAGGGCAAAAGCAUUACAGAGAAAACAUAUAAAAACAAUAAACAGAUUUAGACCCAUACUAAACAUACCAGAAAUCACCCAUGAUCUACCUGAGAAGUCUGAUAGACCACCAUCCCUUCCAACCCUUCAGCGAGAGUUGGAGCUUCCCCUUGGACGGACAGUCGUGUCCAUUUGCUGAAUCAAAAUGAAGACCACUAGUCAGGCCAAGCUCAGCAUUUUAUAUAUUGCUUCCAAGUAUCUGGAAAACCCAGCCUGAACCAAUAUAUGCAAAUCACCCCAGGGUGGAAUACAAUGUCAGGGGCAGUCACCCCCUUCUGUUUUAAUUCCUGUAAGAGCUGUGGUAAUCCUCCCCCCGAGAGUAGAACGCAAUCACACAUAACCGUUCAUAAGUUUAAUACCGUGCUCCCCAAAAAUACUGCAUGGGGUUGCAAUAUCUGUCACACUUGUCACUAGGGCCAUGUCUGCACUGGCAAAAAUGGGACCCAGAGUUACUGGUGCCAAACAGUGCAGCUCUCAUGGUGACGACAGUACAAGCUAUAGUGUGGACAGAGUCUAGACCUUUUGACCUCUACCGGUCAUCAACGUUCAUUAGCUCCAUCUGCAUUAGAGCCUCCACCCUUGUUGCUACUAGUCACUAGUUGUGAAUUACAGCUCCCAUUUUUGCCAGUCAGCAAGGCCUGGGGAGUUCUGACCCAUUUGCAAGUGCUGCAGAAACAGACUCAGUGUUGUUGGGAGCACCAGAAAGAGCAUGCCCCAAUGUGGAGAUGGGGAUUAGAGCUUUCUGUGGCUGAAGAGGACAACGAACAAGGGAAAGCAGGUGGGUUAGAUGGAUGUGGUGUAUGGCAGAUUGCAGCUCCUGGACAUGACUGGGUCACAAAGCUGUGGAGCUCAGCAAUGGAAAAGCAAGGGUUAACCAGCAAGGCCCGGAAACAGCUGUUGUCUGUUAGGCUUCCUCCAGCCUGUAAGUCAGAGGAAGUCAGCUGCUAGGAAUGGAUCAAUCUCCAAACUGCUAGGUGAAAGGACUUCCCCUUUCUGUGAGUUUCAGCUUUUAUGCUAUAUUUCACCCAUGCAAAACCAAAUACGGGUUUAAAAAAUAAAAAUAUUAUCAAGGUUGCAAAGCCAAGAACUCCAAGUUAGGAAAUGCCAGAAUGAAGGUUGCCUGUGCAAUCUUAAUUUGGUCCUCUUGUGUGUAUUCAGUCUUUAAUUACAUGAUUGCAUGCUAUUUUUUUCCACAAGACCCCUGCCUCUUUCAGUGCAUCGGGUAAAGUGUAGCUAGUCAAUCAUUUGUUUUCUCUUUGUUUUUCAAUGUGUGGCUUUAGGCCUUAUUAGCUGCAUGUUAUUCAAACCCUGCUCUGAAUACAGAACGAUUAAUGUCUUAUGGUGUUCAUCACCAGCAUAUCUCAGUGCAUCGCAAAUGUUAAUGUGUUUAUUUUCACACACCCCUGUGAGGUCACAGGAUAUUAUUUUCUCUGUUUUUCAGAGAAGGAACUGAGGUACAACAAGAUUAAGGUGCCUAACAGAGAUGCUUAGGAUCUGAUUUUUCAGAGUAUUUUGCAUUAUAUAGCACUUUAGAUGUUCAAAGCACAGCUUCCAUUGACUUUAGAGACAGCUGUGAUCUCUCCGUGAUUCUGCGCGUCUGGUUCCGGGGUUUCAAAUCAGACACCCAGAAAAUGAGAAACACAUAAGUAGUGACCACCUGUGAAAGGUUUGGUGACUGGCCCAGCAUCACACAGUAACUCUCUGGCAAAGACAGGGAUAGAAUCCAAUUCAGCUGUCUUAACAAUGAGCCUAUCCUUUCUCUUUCUGCAAUCUCCUGUCUCAUUCACUGUACACCUUCCAAUUUCUGCAAUGAAUGAAGCAGGGCUCUACACACCACAACCUCCUAUUCUACGCUUCUAUAUUAAUUCCUAGAGCAGGGUCUCUAAAAAUAUCUCUGCUGAACAUGUGUGAACUGUGAUUUUUAAAAGGCUUAUAACUUGGCCAUAUUUGGGCGGAUUUUCAGUGGGAUGACAUAGGCCACCUCUGCCAAAGUUGAAGACCCUGCUUCAAAGUACGGGGGAGCUAGAGCUUUUCAAAGAAAAGACUGCCAGAGUAUUUUUAAAAUUGUAAAACAACAUAGUUUUCCCCAGCCUUGUUCUUGGAAACAGCUGCACUGUUUUGGCUGAAAUAUUCCAGAAGAAGUCAGCCUGAGGCAGACACCAGGAAUAGGAAAUUUCAGCCCUAACAAGUAAAGUUUGGCAAAGUUAUAAACAGCUGAAAAUGGUCUUGUAAAGGGAAAUGUUGGGCAACCUUAAUAACUGUCAGUGCUACCAGCUCCAUCAAUAAUAAUUGUAUUUAUUUCCCUUCUGGGACAAGAAAGGGUUUAAAAGACAAAACCUCCUCUGGAAGGAUUAGCAACUAGGAGUAAAUAUGAUAUCUGCCAAUCAGAUUGUUACAUCAGGUAGAACAGUGGAGAAGAGUGCUGGGAAAAAUGGUGGGGUGAUGAAGAAGUUUGAAGAGAGAGAGUCCACUUUGGAAAAAUACACAUAGCUUUAAGAAUUGGCUAUCCAAACCCACAAUUAGUUGUAGGUAACAGGCCUACUGGGGAGACAUUAUUGACUGUACCCCAGGACAGCAUGCUCUUUAGAGUGUCUUCUUCCCUCUCCCAACUACAAAAUUUGGGACAUACUACAAAUGCACUGAGCUCCUAGGAAGGUCUCAAGGAGAACAGACCUUUGGAUAGCUUGGUCUCAUUUAUCACUUAUGGGGAUAGGAAAUGCUUUACACAAUGAAGAUCAGAUUUUGGGGAAAAAAACUUAGCACAGAAUUGGAAAGUAAGUCUGCCCUAUCUUUAGCUCACUAAUCUUUAGUCUGCUGACAUCCUCCAGACUGCCAAACAAAUGUGUGCUUAGGGAGAGCUUGAUAUAUCCAGCAUCAAAAGGGUUAAACAUAAGAGCACUUCUCUUUAUAUGGUAGACAUAUAAGACCAUUGAUCAGUCUGUGACAGUUCUGGAGUAGAAUGCUCCUGAAGGAAUGUUUUAAACUGACCACAGACCUGUCCACCCGUCAGAUAUCUUUUCUUGUAUAAAAGGUGCUGUCUCUUUGAGACCUGGGUAAAUAUAAAGGGAAAAGUGUUAAUGAUUAUUCUUACCAAUAAAAUGAAUAUUCUUGUUUCA